rnacentral:rRNA from 1 species
UACGUAGGGGGCAAGCGUUGUCCGGAAUUAUUGGGCGUAAAGCGCGUGUAGGCGGCUCGGUAAGUCUGCUGUGAAAGUCCAGGGCUCAACCCUGGAAAGCCGGUGGAUACUGUCGAGCUAGAGUCCGGAAGAGGCGAGUGGAAUUCCUGGUGUAGCGGUGAAAUGCGCAGAUAUCAGGAGGAACACCGAUGGCGAAGGCAGCUCGCUGGGACGGUACUGACGCUGAGACGCGAAAGCGUGGGGAGCAAACAGG